ensembl:lncRNA
GUUAAACCAAAACAUCCUUUUUAGUUUUCAUUUAAACGUCAAAGUUCAGCUGAGUUCACGCUCGCCCAUAAUCCUGUGGUGGUUGACUGUAAUUACAGAGGACAUCGUCCUGACCAGAGGCCACGCCCCCUCCUCCCCUGACGUAGGUGAUGUAACCAUAAAGCAGCUUUGUUUGGUUCUGAUUUAUUUACAGCAGAAGUGAAGAGAAUCUGUGAAUGAUGGGAAGUUAUGAAAUGAUUGCAGCUUUUAUUGGUGUCAUUAGAGGUCAGAGGAAAACAGGAAGUGAUUGAGAGGAAGACAGGAAGUGAUUGAGAGGAAGACAGGAAGUGAUUGAGAGGAAAACAGGAAGUGUCUGAGGACACAACCUGCUGGACUGAGAAGAGAUGAGAUGAAAUAAAUCAUUUUCUGCUCUUUCUGAUUCCAGUUUGUAAAAGUUUUCUUCUUUCGUUUUUGCUGACUCCUCAGAAUUCUAAAGUAGACUUUUGAAAUAAAACUUUUGUGUUUUCCCAGAGUUGGGAUUCUUCCAAGAACAAAAGCUUUAUUCUUUUAUUUUUGGGAGCAGUCUGAUGAAUUAUUCAGGGCUGUUCUGGCGUUGUCACGGCGACUGUGAUGCUCAGAGCAGCUCUGUUCUGCUGUGUCAGAGCGGGCGUCACAGAGUUUGCACCAAAGCCAAAUCAGAUCAGACAAAGCCCGGCAGAGGAGCCGGCGUUCCCGACGGCGUUCCCGACGGCACAGCCUCUUUGCUCCGGAGAAGAUCCAGGAUGGACCGACCGGAUGGAGGGGAGACUCCUCUGUGGAAGAAGAUCAACAGAAUGUUGAGGUUCAGGAACCGUCACACUCAGGGAAUGCUGGGAAAUGGAGUCUUCAUGUCGUCAGAGGUCAGACAGCUCAGGGGUCUAUAAGCUGAUGCUAACGCUUAGAAAAAUGAUGUAAUCAUAGAAAAUGUUCAGUUUGACUUUCAUUCUGUAAAUCUGAUGCGGCUCUUACUUUACACACAGGAUGUCUUUUAUUUUGAAAAGAACUGGAUUUUUUAAAAAGGUUUGAAUAGAGAAAACACGAUUCAUCACUGCAAAACUAAACGUUAAAAACUAAAUUUCAUGACAGAGUCACCAAAUAAACCUAGAAACAUGUAUUCUUCUGAGCAGAGACGUGGACGUUUGAUGUGAGAAACUGGAUCUAAAGUCAGACCCAGAUCCUCCUCACGGUUCCACGGGUCCAUGAAGGUUCUGGUAGUGCCGGGUCAGCUCUGAGAGGUGAGAAGCUUUGUUUUAUGGGGAGAGACUCUGAUAACCUUCAUUCCUCAGCUGGAGGUUCUGCUCAGAAGCCAGGAGGAGGUGUCAUGGAUGUUUGAGGUCUGUGGACCUGCACGGAUUCCUUCUUCAUUCUUGAAAUAAAUGUUGUUAAUAAACAACUUAUGUAACAAACGUUUGAAUGCCAAGAAGAACAGGACAAACAUCCAGACUUACAUCCAGCUUUACAAACACGAAACUACUGAGUUUAUUACUGAAACAUGAACUUUUUAAAGACUAUUUACUGAAUUUUCCUUUUUUGUUUUGGUUCAUUUGAUCGUUACUGAUCAUUAAUUUAUGCAUCAAAACAUUUAAAUUUAGGCUUAAAGUUUGUUAAUGAAAAUGACAUUUCUGUUCGGGUCCAUUUAGAACACAGACGGUAGAAUCCUCCAGAACUGGAUCUAAACGUACCUGCCCAGUCUGAGUGACGCAGCGCAGAAAGCUCCUCCCACUUUUGCUCCUCCCCCUCCCUCCUCCUCCCCGUGUUGUCCAAACUUCAGGAGAACUCCUCGAACUUCGGCUCCUCCGCGUCGGUUCCGGUUUAUGAUGAGAAGAUGAGCGGCGGCGGGAGUCUGUCAGCGGACCGCGGAGUCCAGGACGGAACCGGAACCGAAACCGAGACCGGAACCGGGGCUGCGUCCGGCGGAGUGAGUGACGUUUCCAUGUCAGCGUGUGUUUAAGCCGCUCAUGUUCCGAAGGUCAAACUGAGAGGUCCAAACUCGGUUCUGGACUUUAAUGUUUUCUGAAAGAAUCCUGAAACCUGCUGUACAUCUGAGAGAUGUUCUGGUCCUGGUUCUUCUGGUCUAAGUCUAGUUCUGGUUCUGGUCAUGACCUUGGUCUUCACUCAAAUUCUGGUUCUGGUCUUGGUCCUGGUCUUAUCGCGGUCUUGCCCUGGUUCUGGUUCUGAUCUUUCAUUCCAUCCUCUAAAGUAGGAGAACCACAGAAGAACCUGUAGAUUCUGGACCUCUUGGGUCCAGAACUGAUGUUUUUCCACAUUCACAGGACUCUUGAGCUGUGAAGAAAUUAAAGAUCAGAACCAGGAACCCAUCAGAACCAGUGAAGCAGCUCAGAAUCGUCUCAUGGAUCUGCUUGCUGCAUGGAUCCUGAACCUCCUCUACGCAGAUGACACCUCUCUUCUGUUGUGACUGGAGGCCACGUUCC